UACUAGAGUAGCACUCGCAUAUCAAUAAGCGGAGGAAAAGAAACUAACAAGGAUUCCCCUAGUAACGGCGAGUGAAGCGGGAAGAGCUCAAAUUUGAAAUCUUAAAGGGUUUCCCUUUACGAAUUGUAGUUUAAAGAAGUGUUUUCUGUUGAGGUUUUGGUAAAAGUUCUUUGGAAUAGGACAUCAUAGAGGGUGAGAAUCCCGUAUUUGACCUUUACUUUCAACUUUGUGAUACACUUUCAAAGAGUCGGAUUGUUUGGGAAUGCAGUCCAAAAUGGGUGGUAAAUUUCAUCUAAAGCUAAAUAUUGGCGAGAGACCGAUAGCGAACAAGUACCGUGAGGGAAAGAUGGAAAGAACUUUGAAAAGAGAGUUAAACAGUACGUGGAAUUGUCAAAAGGGAAGCGUUUGACACCAGUGUUGUUUUUCUGAAAAUCAAUUAAAGAACUGUUUAUGCUAAGUUGUUUAGACUUUAUCAGCUAACUGUUUAGUUUUGAGCUUUUCUUUAAUGCACUUUUCAGUUAACAAGUCAACAUCAAUUUCUUUUGCUGUAAAAAGCUUGAGGAAGGUGGCUUGAGAUUCGUCUUAAGUGUUUAUAGCCUCUUGCCUAUGCAGUCGGAGAGAUUGAGGUCUGCAGCGUAGAUCCUUCGGGGCUAAAUGCAUUUGUGCUAAGUUAUAGCAUUUUAUAGACAACUUGUUGACUAUGAUUUGUCUUGUAGCUUACUCGCUUAUGUUAUUUUACCUACGCUUAGGAUGUUGAGCGCAUGUCUCUCUCU
rnacentral:rRNA from 1 species